rnacentral:rRNA from 1 species
GAUGAACGCUAGCGACAGGCUUAACACAUGCAAGUCGAGGGGCAGCACGGGAGUAGCAAUACAACUGGUGGCGACCGGCGCACGGGUGAGUAACGCGUAUGCAACCUACCUAUCAGAGGGGAAUAACCCGGCGAAAGUCGGACUAAUACCGCAUAAAACAGGGGCACCGCAUGGUGCUAUUUGUUAAAGAACUUCGCUGAUAGAUGGGCAUGCGUUCCAUUAGGUAGUUGGUGAGGUAACGGCUCACCAAGCCGACGAUGGAUAGGGGAACUGAGAGGUUGGUCCCCCACACUGGUACUGAGACACGGACCAGACUCCUACGGGAGGCAGCAGUGAGGAAUAUUGGUCAAUGGGCGAGAGCCUGAACCAGCCAAGUCGCGUGAAGGAAGAAGGACCUAUGGUUCGUAAACUUCUUUUGCAGGGGAAUAAAGUGCAGGACGUGUCCUGUUUUGUAUGUACCCUGAGAAUAAGGAUCGGCUAACUCCGUGCCAGCAGCCGCGGUAAUACGGAGGAUCCGAGCGUUAUCCGGAUUUAUUGGGUUUAAAGGGUGCGUAGGUGGUUUUAUAAGUCAGCGGUGAAAGUUUGCAGCUUAACUGUAAAAAUGCCGUUGAAACUGUAAGACUUGAGUGUAAAUGAGGUAGGCGGAAUGCGUGGUGUAGCGGUGAAAUGCAUAGAUAUCACGCAGAACUCCGAUUGCGAAGGCAGCUUACUAAGCUACAACUGACACUGAAGCACGAAAGCGUGGGGAUCAAACAGGAUUAGAUACCCUGGUAGUCCACGCAGUAAACGAUGAUUACUAGCUGUUUGCGAUACACAGUAAGCGGCACAGCGAAAGCGUUAAGUAAUCCACCUGGGGAGUACGCCCGGCAACGGUGAAACUCAAAGGAAUUGACGGGGGCCCGCACAAGCGGAGGAACAUGUGGUUUAAUUCGAUGAUGCGCGAGGAACCUUACCCGGGUUUGAACGU